UACGGGGGGGGCAAGCGUUGUUCGGAAUUACUGGGCGUAAAGGGCUCGUAGGCGGCCAACUAAGUCAGACGUGAAAUCCCUCGGCUUAACCGGGGAACUGCAUCUGAUACUGGAUGGCUUGAGUGUGGGAGAGGGAUGCGGAAUUCCAGGUGUAGCGGUGAAAUGCGUAGAUAUCUGGAGGAACACCGGUGGCGAAGGCGGCAUCCUGGACCAUUACUGACACUGAAAAGCGAAAGCCAGGGGAGCAAACGGG
rnacentral:rRNA from 1 species